rnacentral:rRNA from 1 species
UGCAGUCGAACGGACCCUUCGGGGUUAGUGGCGGACGGGUGAGUAACACGUGGGAACGUGCCUUUAGGUUCGGAAUAGCUCCUGGAAACGGGUGGUAAUGCCGAAUGUGCCCUUCGGGGGAAAGAUUUAUCGCCCUUAGAGCGGCCCGCGUCUGAUUAGCUAGUUGGUGAGGUAAUGGCUCACCAAGGCGACGAUCAGUAGCUGGUCUGAGAGGAUGACCAGCCACAUUGGGACUGAGACACGGCCCAAACUCCUACGGGAGGCAGCAGUGGGGAAUCUUGCGCAAUGGGCGAAAGCCUGACGCAGCCAUGCCGCGUGAAUGAUGAAGGUCUUAGGAUUGUAAAAUUCUUUCACCGGGGACGAUAAUGACGGUACCCGGAGAAGAAGCCCCGGCUAACUUCGUGCCAGCAGCCGCGGUAGUACGAAGGGGGCUAGCGUUGCUCGGAAUUACUGGGCGUAAAGGGCGCGUAGGCGGACAUUUAAGUCAGGGGUGAAAUCCCAGAGCUCAACUCUGGAACUGCCUUUGAUACUGGGUGUCUUGAGUGUGAGAGAGGUAUGUGGAACUCCGAGUGUAGAGGUGAAAUUCGUAGAUAUUCGGAAGAACACCAGUGGCGAAGGCGACAUACUGGCUCAUUACUGACGCUGAGGCGCGAAAGCGUGGGGGGCAAACAGGAUUAGAUACCCUGGUAGUCCACGCCGUAAACGAUGAUUGCUAGUUGUC